rnacentral:lncRNA from 1 species
CAGCCUCUGAGUUUGGGCUUUAUUUGUUUGUUUGUUUGUUUGUUUGCAUAUUUCUGUGAUGCCCAUCAGAUGUCCCGGUAUAGGUGUCACUGCAAAUUGCCACCAGUGUAGGAGAGAGCAAGGAGCUGAUUGCACAGAGUGGUCAGGGUUCCUACUGGGCUGUAUUACACUUCCUCUGCUUCUUCAUUAUCUCUCAGGCUGCUCAGGCACAAGUGGGACAUCUGGAAGCAUAUGAUCAUUUCGAUAUUAUAUAAAAUUCGAAUGAGGUUGUUUUUUUUUUUUUCUUUCUGAACAGAUAGAAAAGUGUUUUUUGUUGUUGUUGUUUUUCUUUUUGUGGCAACAUCCAGAGGCAGCAGCAUCAGUGAUCAAACGUAUGUGGAUGUGUUGCACACAACAGGACUGUGAGCUCGUGCAUUGAAUUCUUCCAGUGAGAGACAUGAUGGUUCAGGUCUCCAGAUGGCUGUGACGUAAAGAAGAAGCAUCCUGCACGGAUUUCUUAAGAACAAACAGUCCCUAUUUGCCUUAAAGAGGAAUGCUCACGACGCUCCAAUUAACGCAAUCAGAGCCGGGCUCCGUGCCGGCACUCCGCCUUCCGCGCAGGAACCACGGGAGGAGGUGCAGCACGGCACAAACCCCAUUCCACACUACGGCCGAGCAGAAUUCACGCGGAGAGGAACCACGACGCGGCAGCUCGCGGCGGGCAGCGCUCCCGCAGCGUCCCGCUCCCGCAGCCAGGAGAGCCGCUUCCCAUAGAGCUGCCCUUAUCGUCCCUCUGGUGACCGCGGUGCCGCCGUACUGGCAACCCGGCGGUACUGCUGCUGGCAUGCAAGGGGAUGUCAGCACGAAUCCGAACUGUGCAAUAAGAGCAGGAGAACUAUCGAGAAUACAGCAUCUCAAGGAAAAACAAAUGAAACACGUACUCGGUCAGUAAUCACACACGGAAGCAACGCGCGCCGCUAAGCACCACGUAUUUAUAACAUCUAUAUGUAACACAUAGAGCACCAUCCGGCUUUAAUAAGGAAAAACAAAUUACCGUGUCGUGCCUUGGAUGUCAUUCCCUGUGCUCUGUCUGCGUUGUUUAAAUCUGAAAAACAGCCACAAAAAGAAGCAAAGCGUCAUGAUUUAAAUAUCUUUACUGUUUGGUUCUUGUUCAUUAAGUGUAUGUGCACAGACGGGUGUAUAGGUGCUCGGGUCUAGAUCACUCAUAUCUGAGGUGGUUCCUUCAAUAAGCCCCAUAGGUGAUAGUCACGGACAGGCUCGGCUCCGGGUUA